GACGAACGCUGGCGGCGUGCUUAACACAUGCAAGUCGAACGGAAAGGCCCUGCUUUUGUGGUGUGCUCGAGUGGCGAACGGGUGAGAAACACGUGAGUACCCUGCCCCUGACUUUGGUAUAACUUCAGGAAACUGGGGCUAAUACCGGAUAGGAGCUCCUUCUGCAUGGUGGGGGUUGGAAAGUUUCGGCGGUUGGGGAUGGACUCGCGGCUUAUCAGCUUGUUGGGGGGGUACUGGCUUACCAAGGCUUUGAUGGGUAGCCGGCCUGGGAGGGUGACCGGCCACAUUGGGACUGAGAUACGGCCAAGACUCCUCCGGGAGGAAGCAGUGGGAAAUAUUGCACAAUGGGCGGAAGCCUGAUGCAGCACCGCCGCGUGCGGGAUGACGGCCUUCGGGUUGUAAACCGCUUUCGCCUGUGACGAAGCGUGAGUGACGGUAAUUGGUAAAGAAGCACCGGCUAACUACGUG
rnacentral:rRNA from 1 species